UGAAAUUCGAUGACGAGAAAGAGUACGUUAAGCGAACGAUCCGCAGAGAGUUGGGGCUGGUGCAAACCAACGUUCGGGCGCUAACGGAAAGCCAUCUCCGAGAAGCAGGCUGAACCUAGAGUAAGCUCUGCCGCAAUUCCGGCGUUACAAGGAACGCGUAUUGAUGGAUACGUGAGCGGAGUGUCGCUUCAUUUGGAAGCGAAACUAGGGUGGUAACACGGGUGCAGACUCGUCCCUUUA
rnacentral:ncRNA from 1 species